UGCUGAGGCUGCUGCGGGGGAGUGAAGGGCUGUCAUGACGAUGACCCCUGGAGAAGCUGGUUUCCUUAGCUGAGGGGGCCGGUGAGCCUUCCUCAGUCCUGUACAGAGAACAGGAUGCUGCUUUUCAUCCCCCAGCAUUCCCAUUUACCUUAUAGGUGAAAGGUGACUCAACUCAACCUCAAGCCUAUCACCUUUUGGAGACUAGGUACUUAAACCAUGAGCUGGCCAGCAAUGGGGAGAGUGGAAGAAGCAGAGAACCUCCGAGAGAAAAUACAAGAGAGGCAAAGAAUUCCCUUUCAGAGAAAUCUCUCUAAAAAUCUCUACCCAAAGUUUGUGGCAGCUGAGAGUGAAUCCGGGAUGGAGCCAGCACGGAGAAAACACCCAAACCCCAUUUGGAAAUAGUGUUUUGUGAAACAUUACCAAGCAGAAACUGUCCUUCACUUUUGGUAGUACACAUAACAAAGUCACAUUUUAGGAGGAGCUAUUAGUCAGUCCAGUGAUAAAACAAGUACAGUAAAACCUUGGUUUGUGAGCAUAAUUCAUUCUGGAAACAUGCUUGUAAUCCAAAGCACUUGUAUCUCAAAGCAAAUUUCCGCAUAAGAAAUAACGGAAACUCAGAUGAUUCGUUCCACAGCCCCAAAAUAUUCAUAUA